UUUGUCUUUUAAAUGAGGCCUCGUAUGAAUGGAAAAACCUUCCAGAACUGUCUCCCUUGUUCUCCUCUAAAACUCGUAUUCAGGUGAAGAACCCUGAAUAAUCCAGAAAGACGAGAAGACCCUGCCGAGCUUAAGCUAAGAAAGGAAAUUUUCUAAUCUAACCCGUAAUCUUUUCCUCCUAUAGCUAAGGUUGGGGCGACCUCGGAGAAUAAGAAUCCUAUGGGAAAAGUGUAAGAAAAAUCCUCUCUCCACCUAAAAUAAAAAGAACCAGGAUCUGGAAAACGGAAAAAGUUACCGCAGGGCUAACAGCGUUCUCUCCUCUAGGAGUCC
rnacentral:rRNA from 1 species